rnacentral:rRNA from 1 species
CACGUAGGGGGCAAGCGUUGUCCGGAUUUAUUGGGCGUAAAGAGCUCGUAGGCGGUUCAGUAAGUCGGGUGUGAAACCUCCAGGCUCAACCUGGAGACGCCACCCGAUACUGCUGUGACUGGAGUCCGGUAGGGGAGCGUGGAAUUCCUGGUGUAGCGGUGAAAUGCGCAGAUAUCAGGAGGAACACCAGCGGCGAAGGCGGCGCUCUGGGCCGGAACUGACGCUGAGGAGCGAAAGCGUGGGGAGCGAACAGG